rnacentral:rRNA from 1 species
UACGUAGGGUGCGAGCGUUGUCCGGAAUUACUGGGCGUAAAGAGCUCGUAGGUGGUUUGCCGCGUUGUUCGUGAAAACCGGGGGCUUAACCCUCGGCGUGCGGGCGAUACGGGCAGACUGGAGUACUGCAGGGGAGACUGGAAUUCCUGGUGUAGCGGUGGAAUGCGCAGAUAUCAGGAGGAACACCAAUGGCGGAGGCAGAUCUCUGGGCCGUAACUGACGCUGAGGAGCGAAAGCAUGGGGAGCGAACAGG